rnacentral:lncRNA from 1 species
UGAAGAAGUUGAAGCACUCAUUAUAAAUAAAUCUGUAAAGAAAAUAUAAGAUCAAGUAGUAAAAUUUGAAUAAAAGGUACCUUAAAAUAUAAAGUCAAAUAAAAUGAUAAACUUGAAUUUGAAGUCAAAAAUAUUAAUUAAUUAAUUUUUAUUUAUUAUUAUUAUUUUUUUAAUAGGGUUGUGGAUUGUGGCAGUAGAAUAGUAGCAAGAUAGCAGUAG